rnacentral:rRNA from 1 species
UACGGAGGGUGCAAGCGUUAUCCGGAUUCACUGGGUUUAAAGGGUGCGUAGGCGGAUAGGUAAGUCCGUGGUGAAAUCCUGCAGCUUAACUGCAGAACUGCCGUGGAUACUAUCUAUCUUGAAUGUCGUGGAGGUUAGCGGAAUAUGUCAUGUAGCGGUGAAAUGCUUAGAUAUGACAUAGAACACCCAUUGCGAAGGCAGCUGGCUACACGAAUAUUGACACUGAUGCACGAAAGCGUGGGGAUCAAACAGG